rnacentral:tRNA from 1 species
GGAGAGGUGGCCGAGUGGUUGAAGGCAGCCGCCUGCUAAGCGGUUGUGGGGCUUAAAACCUCACCGGGGGUUCGAAUCCCCCCCUCUCCGCCA